rnacentral:rRNA from 2 species
UAGGGAAUCUUCGGCAAUGGGGGGAACCCUGACCGAGCAACGCCGCGUGAGUGAAGAAGGUUUUCGGAUCGUAAAGCUCUGUUGUUAAGGAAGAACGAGUGUGAGAAUGGAAAGUUCAUGCUGUGACGGUACUUAACCAGAAAGGGAUGGCUAACUACGUGCCAGCAGCCGCGGUAAUACGUAGGUCCCGAGCGUUGUCCGGAUUUAUUGGGCGUAAAGCGAGCGCAGGCGGUUAGAAAAGUCUGAAGUGAAAGGCAGUGGCUCAACCAUUGUAGGCUUUGGAAACUGUUUAACUUGAGUGCAGAAGGGGAGAGUGGAAUUCCAUGUGUAGCGGUGAAAUGCGUAGAUAUAUGGAGGAACACCGGUGGCGAAAGCGGCUCUCUGGUCUGUAACUGACGCUGAGGCUCGAAAGCGUGGGGAGCGAACAGG